UUUGACUGGGGCGGUCUCCUCCUAAAGAGUAACGGAGGAGCACGAAGGUUGGCUAAUCCUGGUCGGACAUCAGGAGGUUAGUGCAAUGGCAUAAGCCAGCUUGACUGCGAGCGUGACGGCGCGAGCAGGUGCGAAAGCAGGUCAUAGUGAUCCGGUGGUUCUGAAUGGAAGGGCCAUCGCUCAACGGAUAAAAGGUACUCCGGGGAUAACAGGCUGAUACCGCCCAAGAGUUCAUAUCGACGGCGGUGUUUGGCACCUCGAUGUCGGCUCAUCACAUCCUGGGGCUGAAGUAGGUCCCAAGGGUAUGGCUGUUCGCCAUUUAAAGUGGUACGCGAGCUGGGUUUAGAACGUCGUGAGACAGUUCGGUCCCUAUCUGCCGUGGGCGCUGGAGAACUGAGGGGGGCUGCUCCUAGUACGAGAGGACCGGAGUGGACGCAUCACUGGUGUUCGGGUUGUCAUGCCAAUGGCACUGCCCGGUAGCUAAAUGCGGAAGAGAUAAGUGCUGAAAGCAUCUAAGCACGAAACUUGCCCCGAGAUGAGUUCUCCCUGACUCCUUGAGAGUCCUGAAGGAACGUUGAAGACGACGACGUUGA
rnacentral:rRNA from 1 species